AUUGAACGCUGGCGGCAGGCCUAACACAUGCAAGUCGAGCGAGUGGCGGACGGGUGAGUAAUGUCUGGGAAACUGCCUGAUGGAGGGGGAUAACUACUGGAAACGGUAGCUAAUACCGCAUACCAUCGGAUGUGCCCAGAUGGGAUUAGCUAGUAGGUGGGGUAAAGGCUCACCAAGGCGACGAUCCCUAGCUGGUCUGAGAGGAUGACCAGCCACACGGGAACUGAGCCACGGUCCAGACUCCUACGGGAGGCAGAAGUGGGGAAUAUUGCACAAUGGGCGCAAGCCUGAUGCAGCCAUGCCGCGUGUAUGAAGAAGGCCUUCGGGUUGUAAAGGACUUUCAGCGAGGAGGCGUUACUCGCAGAAGAAGCACCGGCUAACUCCGUGCCAGCAGCCGCGGUAAUUC
rnacentral:rRNA from 1 species